GAACAGCAAGAGGGGAGCCAGCUUAAAAGGUGAAGUCCAGCAGAGCUGAAAAGAUGGGGACACAGAAUGAAAGCGGAAAGAAAGUUCAGCUCUUUGUAAAUUGAUCAGAAGGAUGGAUCCUGUUUGGAAGGAUAGACAGAAUGCAAGGCUGACUGGCAAAUAACUUCAAAAAAUUUAAGGUGAAGGAGAAAAUAGAAUCUGAACCUCCCUGGUUCUGUGCCAAACUUUCUAAUAAUUCAACAUAAAGGGAGACAAGGAGGACUGUGAUGAGCAACACAGUCAGCUCACCGGGAAACAAAACUGAAGAAACCUCCUCUUCUGAGAAUCGCAGUAGGGUUGAGGUUUUGCUGCUUGGAAAGGUGUCUGUAGAUUUCAGAAACCUGCAGGUUUUGUUCCAUGGGCUUAUGGACUUCAUAACCUUAAAUUCCUUCACUAUUUUACUGUCUUGUAAAACACACUUAGGCAUUUCCAGAGAUGCUGAGGAAUAUAACAGCUUCUGUGCCUGAGACCAUGCACUUUUCUACAGAAACAUCCUUUUAUUUAUCUCUCAGUUUUGUCUGAUUCAACUGAGAGGCUCACUGUUGCUGCAAGGACAUGUGUACAAAACCUCACACAACCCUGGCCUUUGAUGUCUCCCGAGGAAAGGAAAAUUCUUUUCCUUUCCCAGAGACAUUCAGUUGAAGUUUUUCUGUGCUGAGGCAGCACCAGCUCAGUCCAUGCUCAGGAGCUGCCUACUCUCCAAUAUGGGUUUAAGACAUGUCCCUAUCUGGUUUGGCAGUAUUUUCUACUUGCUUUAGAAAAAUGUUGCCUAUAAGUACAGGGAUGUAGGUUUCAAAAAACAACAUCUAAAUGUACAAAGAGCUGUUUGAGGCCUAAAUUUCUUCUUGGACUCAGGACUUCCUAUCUUCCAUAGCCAAAACUCCGCAAUGGUUCAGAUUAAAUGAUUGAAUGACCCUUUCUGCAUUUCAGUACUGAAUGGAAAAAGUAUUCUGGGAUAAGAACACAAUCAUAGAAAACUUUUGGCCAGAAAGGACACUUGGAAAUAUCUAGUGCCACUUCUCUGCUCAAGUCAAGCCUAGCUUCCAAUUUGGGUGAGGCAGCUCAGAGCCUGAUUUAGGGUUCAGUCAAGGUCUGAACUUUACCAAGGCUGGAGCUUCCACUAUUUCCUCCAGUGUUUAACUACACCCAUGGUGAUUUUGGGGGUUUUUAUGUUCUUAUCUUCCUUAUAUUCUAAAUGAAGAACAAGGAGUUUCCCAUGAUCAGGAAGAAAAGUGGUGUUCAUGAGAAGGGGCUGUUUAGAGAAAUCAGAUAAAUUAGUGCAGAGAAAAGAGAUUAUUCAGGGAAUAAUCCUGCCUCUCAGUAGCCUCUAAGCCAAUUUCUUCAGAUGAAAACUUGAUCACAAGGUGAGCUUUGCAAAGGUUUCAUACUUCUCACUCUCACAAUAAUGCUCCAAUUAUCAAGAAUCUUAAUUGCUAAAACAAACUAAGGGAAAAAAAUAUUCAGCAUUCCAUUUUUAGCUGCAGGCAGCUGCAGCUGGGCAUGAUUAUAAUAGAAAUGAUUAGUUGCCCAUGGAAAUUGCAAUGACAUUUGCAAAUAAACUUCCCCAAGUUUACAUUUGAAGACUAUUAAAAACAAUAUGGUCAGUUGUUUAGUCGGGUCAAGCAGUUAGAUGUUCCCUACAGGUGUCUUCCCAGAAUCUCAUCAUCCGAGUUUUUAAAAAGCAACCAUUUCAUUGCUUCUCAUUGUCUGUCUAACACUCUGGGCUCAAAUGAGUUCUUCAAACAUAGUCAAAUGAUCUUCACUUUUCUACUUAAUCUCUUUAUGGCACAGGGAUUUCAUUUGGUAUUUCAGGGAAAGCAUUUCCAACAGACAUCCAAACACAGCUGAAAUCUUAUUGAAAUAUUUCCCUCCUGCAAUAUAGAGAAUAACUACCAACCCAGCACAUCAGUGUCAUUUAGAUUACUGCUGAGACCCUUCAAACUGCUAGGUCUGUGGAGAAGCUCACCUUAAUCUGUAAUGCAGACAACUUUAGGAAGAUUAUUUUAAUGUGGCACAACCAAUUAAUUAACAACAGAAUGACCUUAGCAAUUCACAUCACACCAGGAUAAUUGAUUCCAUGCAGUCAUGCCUCUGAAGGGGUAUUAAAGCAUAGCUUAGAUGUGCUGAGUGACAGAAAUGUAGAGAUAUCACCACAAAGUGAUAUACAGGUGGAAGUUGCAUCAGUACAGCUGCUAAUGUGGAGUCACACCUGGAUCAUUAAAGUAAUCCCAAAGUCUGUGUGAGUAUGCGUUUCAGCAGCAGAAUUGCUUACUGUUAGAUUGUCUUAUGACUGGCUCUAAAAGGAGUAUUUUUGGAAUAGCUCUUACGCCAAAGCUAUCCCAAAAUAAAAAUCUCAAUCGUGAAGUAAACCAUUCUCUGUAUGACACCCUUUAAGUCCCUUUUAAACACCUCUGUCAUGCAAUCAGCACUCUUUUUCUUAUUUCUUUCAAGGUCCAGCUGCUUU
ensembl:lncRNA